rnacentral:rRNA from 1 species
UACGUAGGGUGCAAGCGUUAAUCGGAAUUACUGGGCGUAAAGCGUGCGCAGGCGGUGAUGUAAGACAGUUGUGAAAUCCCCGGGCUCAACCUGGGAACUGCAUCUGUGACUGCAUUGCUGGAGUGCGGCAGAGGGGGGGAUGGAAUUCCGCGUGUAGCAGUGAAAUGCGUAGAUAUGCGGAGGAACACCAAUGGCGAAGGCAAUCUCCUGGACCUGCACUGACGCUCAUGCACGAAAGCGUGGGGAGCAAACAGG